GGGUUCAGAGAUUCCUUCUCUGGAGGAGUAAGUCAGAUGGCCGGGCCGCCACUG
rnacentral:ncRNA from 12 species